AGCUACUGUAUUGAACCCUCACCCUAAAAAAAUUAAUUUAAUAUCGUGUGAACCAUUGGUCCACGUAUCAGAUAUUAAACUGAUAAGAACAGAUACUACACUUGAUCUUAGCCAAAAGGCCGAGAAAGGUAUGCUUAUGUCAAUAUUGGGCAUUCGUUUUUAUGCACAUCUUCGUUCUUAUAUUUUCUUCCGUGGUCGAUGUGGGAUUCUAAUGCACUAUUUCGAAGUACUCUUUCUGUCCUCGUACUUCAACCCAAGUUCACCUAAAGCCUCUCCGCAGCUCCCUCAAAGCAUACACAGAAAAGCAAAUGCAUUAAGCUAAUAAGAUAAAAAAAUAGAAAAAAAAUUAGUGAAAGUACAUAACUGAAACUACAGCUCUUGGGAAAUAUCCGUUAAUGGAUGUUUGAGAUGAUGGCUUUGAGCUUCUUCUGCAAUGCUUCAAUUUCUCCUCACCACCAACACCAAGCCAAAUUGAAGGUUACAAGCAGCAAAGGCCUUGAAGAAGUGAAGAAUCUCAUAAGAACUGUUGGGAUUCCAUCAAAAACCUCCUCUCCAGCAAAAUCUCUUGAGAAUGGCAAAUGGGUCAAGCUCAUCUGCGGCGCAAGCUUCAAAGAUGUGGUUCAUAUCAGGAACCUUUCUCUGGUUUACGCUCUUGCAGGAGAUGAUUAACUAAAAUUUAACUGAUUUUUUGCUGACUAAGUGAGAUUAGGUAUUGGAUUAAAUUGAUGUUAAUUGCUUGACAAACGAUUGGUUGCAGUUGAUUGCAUAGACUCUGCAGCCGAUGUGUCAGUGGUGAGUGCAGCGAACGAGGGGAUUGAUGCAGCAGUUGGGAUUUUCAGUGGAAUCACAGCACAGCGUCGCUUGUAUCAAGGAUUAUCCAGAGCAUCUCCCAGGCAUUUAAAGUUUGGUUUAGUACUGAGGUGAUUCUGAAAAAAGCUGGUAUAAAAAAAAGCUAGAAGUUGUUUUUGUGUUUAAUAAACAUUCAGUUUCAGUUUUUUUUCACAAUUUUAGGUGAAACAUUAUACUCUUUUUUUCACAACAAUACCAAACCAUCCCUAAAAAACAUUAUA